rnacentral:snoRNA from 1 species
GUGAAGAAGCUUACAAGGUCUGACAAGUGAAGAGGGCUGAGCGGCUGA